rnacentral:rRNA from 1 species
GGAUAACCUACCCUUAGGACCGGGAUAACCCUGGGAAACUGGGGAUAAUACUGGAUAGGCAAUUUUUCCUGUAAUGGUUUUUUGUUUAAAUGUUUUUUCGCCUAAGGAUGGGUCUGCGGCCGAUUAGGUAGUUGGUUAGGUAAUGGCUUACCAAGCCGUUGAUCGGUACGGGUUGUGAGAGCAAGAGCCCGGAGAUGGAACCUGAGACAAGGUUCCAGGCCCUACGGGGUGCAGCAGGCGCGAAACCUCCGCAAUGUGAGAAAUCGCGACGGGGGGAUCCCAAGUGCCAUUCUUAACGGGAUGGCUUUUCAUUAGUGUAAAGAGCUUUUGGAAUAAGGGCUGGGCAAGACCGGUGCCAGCCGCCGCGGUAACACCGGCAGCUCUAGUGGUAGCAGUUUUUAUUGGGCCUAAAGCGUCCGUAGCCGGUUUAAUAAGUCUCCGGUGAAAUCCUGUAGCUUAACUGUGGGAAUUGCUGGAGAUACUAUUAGACUUGAGACCGGGAGAGGUUAGAGGUACUCCCAGGGUAGAGGUGAAAUUCUGUAAUCCUGGGAGGACCGCCUGUUGCGAAGGCGUCUAACUGGAACGGUUCUGACGGUGAGGGACGAAAGUUAGGGGCGCGAACCGGAUUAGAUACCCGGGUAGUCCUAACUGUAAACGAUGCGGACUUGGUGUUGGGGUGGCUUUGAGCU